AUUAUUUAUGAGCUCUUGGACACACAAUCUCUUCUUCCACCGCUGCACUCGAUCAAAUGUCACCAUUUAUCAAUGAUGUGAAUAUGUGAUCAAACUGUCUAUGUCGUGUUUUCUUGUUUGGAUGAAAACCAGGCCGUGUAGUUGGUAAGUUCGCUGAUAGUGAGUUCUAAAUAGGAGUGCAACGCGUUAAAUGUUGAAAAAUAGGAAGAAGAUGAACACUAGAGGAAGAGGAAGACAGCAGCAGAGGAGGCCGAAGCCGUCCUGUUCCGAGCCAAGUUGUUCGUAGCCCGUUCACUUGUACUAGAUAAUACCCCGCGCGUUGCGGCGGGACUUUCUACCUUCUAUAUGUGGCUUCAAAGUAAAGCGCAUUUGGAUGAAUGAAAAUGAAGUAUGACAUCUAUUAAAUAUCCAGUGAAAUAUUAAUAUUUACAUUUUAAAUAUUGAACAAAUACACUUUUCUACAAACAUACAAAGAUUUAGCUCAAACAUGCAGGCAUUCUUUCCCUCAGUAGUCAACUUGGCUUGUAUGAGCAUCAAAAUAAUUAAUACACUCAAUUGACUGGUAGUGACUUCAAAAUAUUCCCUUAUUCAUCUCUAUGAAAAUGCUCAAAUUUGUUGAGCCAAGUCUUUUUUCCAAAAGGUGUUUCACCAAUUGUUAAUCACAGGAAAACAAAAUAUACGUGGACAGAAUAUAAGAUGGGCAUAAGAAGAAAAUAUGGGCAUUUGAGAGAUGUAAUGUGCACCUGAAAGCUAGUCAUCAUGUUAUGAAGCAGCCUUUGAGCAGCCAGCUAAUAUGUACUCCUAUGUUCUGAACAUCCUUUCUACUCCAAACAAAACAACAAUUAGAAAUAUCAGCAAGCGAUAUAUAUACAUAUGUUGACAAUUACAUGAACUAUUGGAGCUAGUUAAUUUAUAAUUUCAUGACAACAUGCCGUUAAUAUUUCAGGCUUAGUUACAGUGUACAUCUAUUUGUUACUUACACGGGUUAUCCUUGGCAGUGUUUAAAGACACUGAAACUUUGAAACAACUUGAAACACUUCUUAGAGAAUGGACUCUUCGUAUAUGGUUCAUAACCACUCCAUGAAGAUCCGUGGAUCGAUGAGCGGAGGCCGCAAGAUCUCCUGGUCAAACUGAGGCCUAAUGGUGAGGCGGCAUGUGCUUAGACAAUUUGAAGGGAACUUUUAAACAUGAAAUAUAUAUGAUAUUUUCGCA